UGAAUUUUUAUAGGAUGAAUUAUCAUCUUGACGCAGAGUUGUGACAGAUGCCAGACAAAACUACGUGGAAUAGUAGCUUUGACAGUUUCACUGCUGUAUUAGAGCUGCUCGAUGAUCAACAUGUUGAUUUGUUGUGCUAGUCUUUCCUGUGACCCUUGUACCCGUUGAGAGGUCUGUCGCACUCGGGGUCAGAUUAUUGGUGCACUUCUAUGUCGAUUGCUGAGUUCAGUUGACGGCGAUGCCCUCCACUUCGCAAUCGGGGGUAAAGUUGCCAGUUUUUCGAUGUUCGAGUUUGCUCCGAUCACGGGGAUUAAAGAUUACGGGCGAUGAAACAGUUGGUGAUGGGAUUCAGAGAAGAAAUAGACUUCAUGACGCUUACUUCGAGGGACAGGAAAAUUUGCUUCUUACAUAGUUGUUGGACACAAUCAGGAGGUGUGAUAAGAUGUUAGACAGACUGAAGUUAGGUCUAGUCCACAUUCUUGAGAGCGUGGUACGGUGUUACCGUAAGAAGACUGCGAUCGACCUCUUCCAUCUAGAGAUCGUUGACGACAUCGAUCAUUUCGACGACUAUCCGUGGGGCUGAAGAUGUUUUGAGGACACCGUACACGUCUUUACCAGAUCGCACUCGAAGCCAAAGUGAGUCAUGCGUAAGUAAGACACCUAUGGAUUGCCCCUGACGGUGCAGAUAAAUGGUUAACAUAAUGAAUGUUAAAAUUAUUUUCAUAUUGAAUUUAUAUAUAAUAAUUAUGUGUUGCAGAUCUGGG
rnacentral:lncRNA from 1 species